rnacentral:siRNA from 1 species
UUUACUAUGCUGCCAUCUUGAG